AAAAACGUUCACUCUUGCUUAUAUGAAGCUUGGGUAAGGUUGUAAAUAAAUAAUUGGAGCUCGAAAUUGUGGAUAUUGGAGCUUGGAGGAAGCUAGAUACUAGUGUUUUGUUGAGGUCUUUGGGGCUGUGCUUGUGUUAAUAAGCUACCUUGAUCACUAUGAGAAAAUCGGCCAAGAUGCAGGUCGAGAGACAUCUCGUUAGGCAUCUGGACUCCUGAAGCGAAGUGGUUACUGGGUUAUUUUGUUGUACAAUGAUGUAUAUAUAUGUACUUAGCUUUCUCUCUGCAUAACUUGUUCUUUUUUAUCCUCUUAGAGGUUUAUGGAGA